UGGGGAAUAUUGCACAAUGGGCGCAAGCCUGAUGCAGCCAUGCCGCGUGUAUGAAGAAGGCCUUCGGGUUGUAAAGUACUUUCAGCGAGGAGGAAGGCGUUGUGGUUAAUAACCGCAACGAUUGACGUUACUCGCAGAAGAAGCAACGGCUAACCCCGUGCCAGCAGCAGCGGUAAUACGGAGGGUGCAAGCGUUACUCGGAAUUACUGGGCGUAAAGCGCACGCAGGCGGUCUGUCAAGUCGGAUGUGAAAUCCCCGGGCUCAACCUGGGAACUGCAUCCGAAACUGGCAGGCUAGAGUCUUGUAGAGGGGGGUAGAAUUCCAGGUGUAGCGGUGAAAUGCGUAGAGAUCUGGAGGAAUACCGGUGGCGAAGGCGGCCCCCUGGACAAAGACUGACGCUCAGGUGCGAAAGCGUGGGGAGCAAACA
rnacentral:rRNA from 1 species